UAACCGGAUUAGAUACCCUGGUAGUCCACGCCGUAAACGAUGUCGACUUGGAGGUUGUGCCCUUGAGGCGUGGCUUCCGGAGCUAACGCGUUAAGUCGACCGCCUGGGGAGUACGGCCGCAAGAUUAAAACUCAAAUGAAUUGACGGGGGCCCGCACAAGCGGUGGAGCAUGUGGUUUAAUUCGAUGCAACGCGAAGAACCUUACCUGGUCUUGACAUCCACAGAACUUUCCAGAGAUGGAUUGGUGCCUUCGGGAACUGUGAGACAGGUGCUGCAUGGCUGUCGUCAGCUCGUGUUGUGAAAUGUUGGGUUAAGUCCCGCAACGAGCGCAACCCUUAUCCUUUGUUGCCAGCGGUCCGGCCGGGAACUCAAAGGAGACUGCCAGUGAUAAACUGGAGGAAGGUGGGGAUGACGUAA
rnacentral:rRNA from 1 species